CACCGAACCGUCCAUGCCUGAGGAGGUGGUCUGCCAGAUGGUGAAAUCGAGUUUGGGAAGUAUCUGACUAGCCCACAAGCCCACAAGACACUGCGUCUGAAGCAUGAAGGCAAAGUGUCUUUACUGUCUCGCCUCCCCAUGAUUGCAUGUUGUCCCUCAAGACUUGCCAUGAAGCUCGCCAAUCACAUCAUGCUCGCCUCAAGUCAUGCUCGCCUUUC
rnacentral:lncRNA from 1 species